AAAGCUGNGAGAAUAAGGAGAGGGCAAGUCUGGUGUCAGCCGCCGCGGUAAUACCAGCUCUCCGAGUGGUGUGGACGUUUAUUGGGCCUAAAGCAUCCGUAGCUGGCUGAACAAGUCCCCUGUUAAACCCACCGAUUUAAUCGUUGGUCUGCGGGGGAUACUGCUUGGCUAGGGGACGAGAGAGGCAGACGGUAUUCCCGGGGUAGGGGUGAAAUCCUAUAAUCCCGAGAGGACCACCAGUGGCGAAGGCUGUCUGNUAGAACGCGCCCGACGGUGAGGGAUGAAAGCUGGGGGAGCGAACCGGAUUAGAUACCCGGGUAGUCCCAGCUGUAAACGAUGCAGACUAGGUGUUUGGACGGCCACGUGCCGUUCUAGUGCCGCAGGGAAGCUGUUAAGUCUGCCGCCUGGGGAGUACGAUCGCAAGAUUGAAACUUAAAGGAAUUGGCGGGGGAGCACCACAAGGGGUGAAGCUUGCGGUUUAAUUGGAGUCAACGCCGGAAAUCUCACCGGGAGCGACAGCAGUUUGAAGGCCAGAUUAAAGGUCUUGCCAGACGAGCUGAGAGGAGGUGCAUGGCCA
rnacentral:rRNA from 1 species